AAUGUACUCAACUAAAUUUCCCUCUUAAAGAAGCCAUAAUACUGCUUUAUUCUCCCAUUAAUUUGGGGAAAAUCACAGCUCGAUAUUAAGUCAUAUUCAUGGACAACUUUCUCGGCAUUGGGGCCAACAUAAUCGCCAUAAAUUAUCAUGGCCUAUUGAUUGCUGCCGACCAUUAAAACCUAAUGCCCAAGUCGAUGCCCUGACCAGAAACACGCACUUACUCCAUUUACAACGCUUGGGCCAUUUUGAAAGUCAUUUAUAAUGAAAUGUAGAUGUUGGAGCGCCCCUAAUACCCCUCUCUCCUUCCGGAAAAACUGAGUCAUAUGUCAUCUAUAAGGACCGAAAUUAGUUGCCCGGCAAAACUUGUAAAAUAUUUACGAGCCCAAGUGAGCGCAAAAGGAAAACAAUCACUGUUUCCACAGGCCGGACACCGGACAAGUGUGCUUGAGGUCCGAUGCCCACCGAUGCCGUUCCCCCUGUCUGCUCGAUAGGUAUGCUAUUGUUGGAGCUGUUGCAUCGGCAUGUUAACGAGGGGGCACAUACACUCAGAG